UACGAAGGGGGCUAGCGUUGCUCGGAAUCACUGGGCGUAAAGGGUGCGUAGGCGGGUCUUUAAGUCAGGGGUGAAAUCCUGGAGCUCAACUCCAGAACUGCCUUUGAUACUGAAGAUCUUGAGUUCGGGAGAGGUGAGUGGAACUGCGAGUGUAGAGGUGAAAUUCGUAGACAUUCGCAAGAACACCAGUGGCGAAGGCGGCUCACUGGCCCGAUACUGACGCUGAGGCACGAAAGCGUGGGGAGCAAACAGG
rnacentral:rRNA from 1 species